rnacentral:lncRNA from 10 species
GACAACCUGCUCAGAUCUCCUUCCAGACUGUGGCAGCUUUUUCUUCUUCUUCUUCUUCUUCUUCUUUCUCUUUUCUUUUCUUUUCUUUUCUUCCCCCUUCUCCUUCUCUUCUUCUCUCUUUCCUCUCCCUUCCUCCCCCUCCCUUCCUCUUUUCUCUCGCUUUGCAAUAAAUCUUACUGUUGCUCGUUUUGGGUCUACACUGCUUUUGUGAGCUGUAACAGUCACGGUGAAGAUCUGCAACUUCACUCCUAAGCACAGUGAAACCAUGAGGCCACCAGGAGUGAAUUAACAACUCCAGAUGCGUUGCCUUAAGAACUGUAACAUUCACUACGAAGGUCUGCAGCUUGCCUCCUGAGCCAGCAAGACCGUGAACCCACCAGAAAAAAAAAACUCCAAAUACAUCUGAACAUCAAUAAAGGACAGACUCCAGAUGUGCCACCUUAAGUGCUAUAACACAUCAUGAGGGUCUGCGGUUUUGUUCUUGAAGUCAGUGAGACCAAAACCCCACCAAUUCCCGGUCACAAAAGGGUAUAAAGUUUGAAUUAUGGGUUGAGCAUUCUGGCUCACACCUGUAAUCUCAGUACUUUGAGUGGCUGAAGUGGAAAGAUAAGUUGAACACAGGUGGGGGAGGUAGCAGUGAGCUGAGAUCACACCACUGCAUUUCAGCCUGCGUGACAGACUACCUCAAAAAGUUUAAGGUACUCAAAGUUAACACAUUUUGGAAAUCUAAGGUACAGCAUGGCUAUGAAAGUUCAUGAGAAUGUAUGCUUGAGAUGUGCUAAGAGUAGAUCCUGAAUGUUCUCAUCACAUACACAAAUGAUAAGUAAAUGUGGAGGAUAUGUUAAUUUGCUUGACUAUGGUGAUCAUUUCACAAUGUAUCUGUAUUUAUGGUUUAAAUGUUUGUUCCCUCCCAAACUCAUGUUGAAAUUUAAUUACCACUGUAACAGUAUUAAGAGGUGAGACCUUUAAGAGGUGAUCAGAUCAUGAGGGCUCUGCCCAUAUGAAUGGAUUAAUGCAUUUAUCUGGGGAGUGGAUUCCUUAUAAAAGGACAAUUUGGGCCUUCUUUUGUCUCUCAUCCUCUCUUGCCUUCCACCUUCCACCAUGGGACGAGGCAGCAAGAAGGCCUUCACCAGAUGCCAGACCCUCAAUCUUGGAUUCCCUGCCUCCAGAACUGUGAGGAAAUAAAUUUCUGUUCUUUAU